rnacentral:rRNA from 1 species
GACGAACGCUGGCGGCGUGCCUAAUACAUGCAAGUAGAACGCUGAAGAGAGGAGCUUGCUCUUCUUGGAUGAGUUGCGAACGGGUGAGUAACGCGUAGGUAACCUGCCUUGUAGCGGGGGAUAACUAUUGGAAACGAUAGCUAAUACCGCAUAGCAAUGGAUGACACAUGUCAUUUAUUUGAAAGGGGCAAUUGCUCCACUACAAGAUGGACCUGCGUUGUAUUAGCUAGUAGGUGAGGUAAUGGCUCACCUAGGCGACGAUACAUAGCCGACCUGAGAGGGUGAUCGGCCACACUGGGACUGAGACACGGCCCAGACUCCUACGGGAGGCAGCAGUAGGGAAUCUUCGGCAAUGGGGGCAACCCUGACCGAGCAACGCCGCGUGAGUGAAGAAGGGUUUCGGAUCGUAAAGCUCUGUUGUAAGUCAAGAACGGGUGUGAGAGUGGAAAGUUCACACUGUGACGGUAGCUUACCAGAAAGGGACGGCUAACUACGUG